AACGAACGCUGGCGGCAGGCCUAACACAUGCAAGUCGAGCGAGGACUUCGGUUCUAGCGGCGGACGGGUGAGUAACGCGUGGGAAUGUGCCCUUCUCUACGGAAUAGCCCUGGGAAACUGGGAGUAAUACCGUAUACGCCCUAUUGGGGAAAGAUUUAUCGGAGAAGGAUCAGCCCGCGUUGGAUUAGGUAGUUGGUGGGGUAAUGGCCUACCAAGCCGAUGAUCCAUAGCUGGUUUGAGAGGAUGAUCAGCCACACUGGGACUGAGACACGGCCCAGACUCCUACGGGAGGCAGCAGUGGGGAAUCUUAGACAAUGGGGGCAACCCUGAUCUAGCCAUGCCGCGUGAGUGAUGAAGGCCUUAGGGUUGUAAAGCUCUUUCAGCUGGGAAGAUAAUGACGGUACCAGCAGAAGAAGCCCCGGCUAACUCCGUG
rnacentral:rRNA from 1 species